rnacentral:rRNA from 1 species
UACGUAGGGUGCAAGCGUUAAUCGGAAUUACUGGGCGUAAAGCGUGCGCAGGCGGUUUUGUAAGUCUGUCGUGAAAUCCCCGGGCUCAACCUGGGAAUUGCGAUGGAGACUGCAAGGCUAGAAUCUGGCAGAGGGGGGUAGAAUUCCACGUGUAGCAGUGAAAUGCGUAGAGAUGUGGAGGAAUACCAGAGGCGAAGGCGGCUACCUGGACAAUUGCUGACGCUCAGGCACGAAAGCGUGGGGAGCAAAAGGG